GCCAGUAUGGUGGAUAUGGACCUUGGCUUGUAACCGAGUGGGUUCGGGUUCGAAUCCCGACUAAGGUA